AAGUUUGAAGUAAAAUUUACACUCAGUUUCGACCUGAUUUCUGGUUAAACUAAUUAACCCAAACUUU
rnacentral:tRNA from 1 species